rnacentral:rRNA from 1 species
CCCUUAGAUGUCCUGGGCCGCACGCGCGUUACACUGAUGCAUUCAACGAGCUUAUAACCUUGGCCGAGAGGCCCGGGCAAUCUUGUUAACGUGCAUCGUGAUAGGGAUAGAUUAUUGAAAUUAUUAAUCUUGAACGAGGAAUUCCUAGUAAACGCAGAUCAUCAAUCUGCAUUGAUUACGUCCCUGCCCUUUGUACACACCGCCCGCCGCACCUACCGAUUGGAUGGUCCGGUGAAGCCUCGGGAUUGUGGUUCUUGCCGCUUUAUUGUGGCGUGACCGCGAGAACUUGUCUAAACCUUAUCAUCUAGAGGAAGGUGAAGUCGUAACA